rnacentral:rRNA from 1 species
UACAGAGGCCUCAAGCAUUAUCCGGAAUCACUGGGCGUAAAGGGUGUGUAGGCGGUCGUGUUAGUCUCUCGUGAAAGGCUUUGGGCUUAACCCAGAGACCGCGGGGGAAACGGCACGGCUUUGAGGGCGCGAGAGGUAAAGGGAACUCAUGGUGUAGGGGUGAAAUCCGUUGAUAUCAUGGGGAACACCAAAUGCGAAGGCACUUUACUGGCGCGUUUCUGACGCUGAGACACGAAAGCGUGGGAAUCGAACGGG